rnacentral:rRNA from 1 species
UACGGGGGGGGCAAGCGUUGUUCGGAAUUACUGGGCGUAAAGGGCUUGUAGGUGGCCAACUAAGUCCGACGUGAAAUCCCUAGGCUUAACCUAGGAACUGCGUCGGAUACUGGAUGGCUUGAAUCCGGGAGAGGGAUGCGGAAUUCCAGGUGUAGCGGUGAAAUGCGUAGAUAUCUGGAGGAACACCGGUGGCGAAGGCGGCAUCCUGGACCGGUAUUGACACUGAACGGCGAAAGCUAGGGGAGCAAACGGG